AUGAGUGAUUACAUACAUUUGGCUCUGAUCCCUCGCAGACCACUAUCGUACAUGCGGACAUCAACCAUUAAUAGAAAAAAUAUGUUUUUCUUCCCUCAAGUGAGAAACCAAAAUGGACAUUCUCUGCACAGCUCAUGUAACUCUCAUCAGGAGCACGGUCAAAUAAACCCAUUAUUAUGCUGUCCAACCCACUCCAGAGGAGCACAUGAAUCCCAGCUCAUCACUCUCAACACAGUAACACUAAUACCAAAGAUGGUUUUCCAAGUGCUCUGUUAUGUAUGUUUGUGUCUGUGUGUGCGUGCAUGCGUUAAAGACUAUGUGGCCUCACCUUCUAACGGUUAGAGAGGAUGAUGUCAUUCAAUAUGAGGCCGCUGUAGGGCAAAUGAGCCUGGGAGGUUUUAGCUGAGUUUCGAUACAGCAGAGCAGAUUGCACAAACAAUAGAUGGAUAUGAAAGAAAAUGUGUUUUGGCUUGAGUUGCCUUUAUUACAUCACUCUUAUUUGCUUCCUAGAAAAUCUAUCAUUGCUAAAUUAUUAUUCUUGGCAUGGGCUGCAGACUGAUAGUUCCUGCUUCUCAGGAAGGGGCUGCUGCUUUGUGGAAAAGUUUUUGCAUUUGUGGUGUGUGCUUUUACUUUCUGCUGUUUUUUUUUUUUUUUUUUUUUUUUGGAGUCAUUUAUUGUUCAAAUAUUUGGGGCUGGUAACAUUUUAAUUUUUUUUUAAAGUAGUCUCUUGUGCUCACCAAGGCUGCAUUUAUUUGAUAAAAAAAAAAAAAAUACAGGAAAAACAGUGAUAAAAUAAUAGCAUUUUAAUUUAAAUAUAUAUUGUAAUGUAAUUUAAUUUUUUUUUAAUUCAUUCCUAUGAUUGUAAAGCAGUCGCAUUCUUCAGUGUCACAUGAUCCUUCAGAAAUCAUUCUAAUAUGCUGAUUUGGUGCCCAAAAAACAUUUCUUAUUAUCAGUGUUGAAAACAUCUGUGCUGAUUUUUUUCAGGAUUUUUUUGAUGAAUAAGACAACAACAUUUAUUGGAAUUUUUUAUUGGAAUUUUUUAUUUUGUAACAAUAUAAAAUCUUAACUGUCUCUUUUGAUCCAUUUAAUGUGCUCUUGCUAAAAUAUAUAUAUAUUAUUAUUCUUUUUUUUUUAGAUCUUAUAAGCUUAUAAAAAUAUUUGAACAGUAGUGUAAAUAGUGAGGUCUAAAAAUCUGAGAGCAAUACUGAAAAUGCUGCUAUUUUGCACUCUUUUCUUUUUAAUUUUCUUUGAAUUAUAUCAGCAUAACAACAUGAGUGAUGUUGAACGGAAUAAUUAUUUAUUUUUGUUUUAAAACAAUUUAAAUAAUUUAACUGUUUAAUAAUUUACCCACUGACAUCCACAAGUUUGUGUAAACCCUGAUUAUCAUAUUAUCCAGGAAUAUCUGACAUGAACCGUGGAAGCACAUAUGGCAUAAAUUUACAUAUUUGAUUUAGUCUUAAAAUAUUGAAUAAUAUUUAUUUUACACCACAGUCCUAAAUAUUUAUUUUUAUUUUUGGGUAUAAAUUAAAUAAAUCCCAGAUUUUCCUCA
ensembl:lncRNA